rnacentral:ncRNA from 1 species
ACGGGAUACGUCCCGGAAAGGAAUGUGGCGGCAACGCUGAACCUGAGG